UUAAAUGUGGUUGUGGGGUGAGGUUGUUUCUCUCUGGAACAUGGCCCUGGGAGCUGCUGUUCCUGCACUGAUCAAGACAAAGGGACCUCACCUGCAGCUUAGAGCUCACCCAGCUGCCCCCAGCAGGAAGGACAGCCCCCCAGCAGAGCCCGACCUAGAUCAGCCAGACUUCAGACGACCCACACACCAUGAACAUGACAGUAACUGUUUUGGGGAAGUUGCUGCUCUUUUCAUGGCUUAACUAAUGGCUUCUCAGCAAGAUCAGAGCAGACGGGUCACCACAAACUCCCGAAGGUCUCACUCUCAGGUGGAGCUGAAGGGAUGAUAAUACAGAAGAGGCUGGGCUGGGGCAGGUGGCCCGCCCACCGUGUACCUGUUUUCAGCCUGUUUGCUUGUUAGUCUCUGGAAAAGCGUGGGACCCCGCAGUCUAAGCAGAGGAACAAACCCACAUGGACCAAACGCUCUGCAACAAAAAGGCUGAUGGUAGGAGUCUGUGCUCAUCGGCCUUUCUAAACCUGCAGGUUUCCUCUUCCUCCUUUGCAGUGAAUGGAAUGCCGCCUGGAUUCCUCAGUUGACCAGCAGGCCAGAAACAGGAACGAAAGGUGCUCACGGACCCGUCACAGUGUGCUCUGUCUCUACAAAGAUCAUCUGCAGCCACUGUGGGGAAAAACUAAAAUAUUACCCAGACCAACCCAUUCCACAGCUAGCGGGUGCUGAAGGAAGCGGGUCAAGCCCCAUGUGAGGAGGGAGCAAAUUGCCUUUGUGCCUACGGGGUAAGGAGGCACGUGCCACACACAUCUGGGAAAUCGCAACAUUUGUCUUCUGUGUUCCCUUCAUUCUCCUCUUGGCAUCUCCUCUCACUGUUGACAUCCUCAUUCAUUCACCAAACAUUAACUGAGGACCACGCAUAUGUCAGAGACCCUCUUGGAGGGCCUGGGCUGGGUAAGAAGAUUUACGAGGAAUUGAGAGAGGAAUAAAGAAUGACACAAAUUCAGCUAUUAUAGUGCACUACAUACUACCCAACUAUCUACCCACCAUCUACCAUCACAGCGAUCCCAGAUCAAUCAUCUAUUAUCAUCUAUCUAUGAAACAGACAGUAAAGACUAAGAGCUAGUAAAAGGGAACUUCAGGCUUCUCAGCCCUUGAGUCCUUCUGUGAUGCGAUGACCAUGGGGAAGAGGAGUGACGUCAGGCCAUCUGUCCUUCCCAUUCCAGCAUCUGUUCUGGGGAGUGGUCACUCUGAAGAUGGGACCAGGCUCCUGUGAGAUGCUGAGGGCAGCAUCUCAGGGCCAACUUUCCUCCCAGGGGUCCAGAUAAUGCCCAUUCAUGGACGUCCUCCUGCACAGUAAGGGCAUGACCUCAGACAGAGUUCACUGAGCUGGCCUGGUCUGAGCCUUGACCCUUGUGUGAAGAGGGCAUCGAGUUACCUGCAAAGCAUAGUGACUUUUUCAGAACAAGGGCUGAGUUAAGAGUACAUAUGUUAACAUGGAGACCCUUAAAGAUUUUGGGGGAUGAACAGCAGUGGGAGAUGUCUAUAUGGAUUUUCUAAGAUGAUCCUUUCACCUGUUCUGAGAGUCAGGUCACUGCCCAGGGCACCAUCAUCUGGCAGGUCAGUGGGAGGGAGCUGCUUUCAACAAUGCAGAGAAAGUGGGUAAAAGACCCCUCUAUGUUGCAGAAACUCUGUCUCUGCAGUAACUGGAGAGAAGACAGGAGGACUGAGCAGUAAGGAAGGAGGUGCCCGCUCACAUGCUUCAGGUAGGAGGGGGUUAGCACACAGAACAAACAGCACGCUUGCCCUGCUCAGCAAACUUUCUGGUCUGCGGUCACCCAGGGGAGCUCCGCACACACUUCUCCACUGCACUGCCACAGUGUAGACAUUUUUGGCACUCCCCAAACUACCUUCAGAGCCCUUUUAUGCGUCAUAAAAGCAAAUGUAUCUCAUUAUAGUCAUGUCUUAUUUAGGACCCCAAAUAAUAGAGCUCAGAUCGGUCCCUACCUUAUUCUCCAGGCGAGGUUCAACCACAACACUUAUAAUAGCUAACUUUUAUUAAUCUCUCCCACGUGCCAGGCUCUGUGCUGAGCACUUUGCCUCAUUUAGCGCUCUCGGGAACAUUAGGAAGAGUAAGUGAUGGUUAGCUCCAUUUUGUGGUGAGGGAUCCGAAGCACAGAUUUACCACUCCUGAUUAUAUUCAAGAGAAUGUGCCUUUGGCUCCGCAGAGAAUUUAGAAAUAGGAGCCCCACACUGCUUUAAGUCAAUUAGAUGCCAGCGCACUGAAAUAAACACACACAAAGCCUGUCAAGCCUACCACCUGGAAGGGGCAGCACCAACGCUGAGCUUUGAUCUGCAUGCUGGAGGGGCUCAUACGCGGAUUUGGGAGUAAGGCAGCACGAGGAAAUGGGCAUCAUGGCGAAUCCUGUCUCUGGUGAGGGCGAUGGUGGAGGCAUCUGGCUUUGGGGUGGCAGCAGUGACAGAAAUCCUGGGUCCAGUGUCCACCAUGGUGAGUGCCAUGUCUGUGUGUGCCCAGUGGGGCAGUCGUGAGAUCCUUGUUCUGCAAUGUGACUGGGUUUCCUGGCCCCCAAUCUUCUGGUCCUCCUAAAGACUGAACUCCCUAUGGAACCCUUUGAUGAGAAGCUUUUCUCCGUAGCUAGCUGAAGUAGGUGCUGCUGUUGUUAAGAACCCCACUUAGGGGGGCCUGGGCAGCUCAUUGGUUAAGUGUCCGACUCCUGAUCUCAGCUCAGGUCUUGAUCUCAGGGUUGUAAGUUCAAGCCCCGCAU